UACGGAGGGUGCAAGCGUUGUCCGGAUUUAUUGGGUUUUAAAGGGUGCGUAGGCGGCCCUAUAAGUCAGUGGUGAAAUACUGCAGCUUAACUGUAGCAUUGCCAUUGAUACUGUAGGGCUUGAGUUACAGAUGAGGUAGGCGGAAUUGAUGGUGUAGCGGUGAAAUGCAUAGAUACCAAUCAAGAACACCGAUUGCGAAAGGCAGCUUACUAAACUGUAAACUGACGCUGAAGGCACGAAAAGCGUGGGGGAUCGAAACAGGAAUUAGAAAACCCCC
rnacentral:rRNA from 1 species